rnacentral:rRNA from 1 species
UACGAAGGGGGCUAGCGUUGCUCGGAAUCACUGGGCGUAAAGGGUGCGUAGGCGGGUCUUUAAGUCAGGGGGGAAAUCCUGGAGCUCAACUCCAGAACUGCCUUUGAUACUGAGGAUCUUGAGUUCGGGAGAGGUGAGUGGAACUGCGAGUGUAGAGGUGAAAUUCGUAGAUAUUCGCAAGAACACCCGUGGCGAAGGCGGCCGGCUGGGCCGACCCUGACACUGAGGCGCGAAGGCGUGGGGAGCGAACGGG